GUCUCCAGCCACGGCACCCUGAACAAGCCCGAUCCCGUCUGAUCGCGGAAGCUAAGCAGGGUGGGGCCUGGUUAGGACUUGGAUGGGAGACCACCUAGGAAGGCCAGGUGCUGUAGGUG
rnacentral:rRNA from 1 species